CGAGUUUGAUCCUGGCUCAGAGCGAACGCUGGCGGCGUACUUAACACAUGCAAGUCGAACGAGGAGCUUCUCUGUAGCAAUACAGAGGAGCUUCUAGUGGCGCACGGGUGAGUAACACGUGGGCAACCUGCCCUUGAGUUCGGGAUACCCUCUCGAAAGGGAGGCUAAUACCGGAUACGUUCCUUGGAUUGCGAAAUCUAGGGAGGAAAGGUGGCGCAAGCUGCCGCUCUUGGAGGGGCUCGCGGCCUAUCAGCUAGUUGGUGAGGUAAUGGCUCACCAAGGCGAUGACGGGUAGCUGGUCUGAGAGGACGACCAGCCACACGGGAACUGAGACACGGUCCCGACUCCUACGGGAGGCAGCAGUGGGGAAUUUUCCGCAAUGGGCGAAAGCCUGACGGAGUGACGCCGCGUGGGGGACGAAGGCCUUCGGGUCGUAAACCCCUGUCAGAGGGAAAGAAGGUCGGCGCGGUGAACAGCCGCGUCGAUUGACGGUACCUUCAGAGGAAGCCCCGGCCAACUCUGUGCCAGCAGCCGCGGUAAGACAGAGGGGGCAAGCGUUGCUCGGAAUCACUGGGCGUAAAGGGCGCGUAGGCGGGAUGGCAAGUCAGUCGUGAAAUCUCUCGGCUCAACCGAGAAACGUCGGCUGAUACUGCCGUUCUUGAGGGAUGCAGAGGAGACUGGAAUUCCCGGUGUAGCGGUGAAAUGUGUAGAGAUCGGGAGGAACACCGGUGGCGAAGGCGGGUCUCUGGGCAUUUCCUGACGCUGAGGCGCGAAAGCGUGGGGAGCAAACGGGAUUAGAUACCCCGGUAGUCCACGCUGUAAACGAUGACGACUAGGUGUGGGGUGGUUCAGUCCAUUCCGUGCCGCAGCUAACGCAUUAAGUCGUCCGCCUGGGGAGUACGGCCGCAAGGUUGAAACUCAAAGGAAUUGACGGGGGCCCGCACAAGCGGUGGAGCAUGUGGUUCAAUUCGAUGCAGAGCGAAGAACCUUACCUGGGCUUGACAUGCAGGAAGUAGGAACCCGAAAGGGGGACGACCCGUUAAAUCGGGAGCCUGCACAGGUGGUGCAUGGCUGUCGUCAGCUCGUGCCGUGAGGUGUUGGGUUAAGUCCCGCAACG
rnacentral:rRNA from 1 species